rnacentral:rRNA from 1 species
AGUGAACGCUGGCGGUAGGCCUAACACAUGCAAGUCGAACGGCAGCACAGUAAGAGCUUGCUCUUACGGGUGGCGAGUGGCGGACGGGUGAGGAAUACAUCGGAAUCUACUUUUUCGUGGGGGAUAACGUAGGGAAACUUACGCUAAUACCGCAUACGACCUACGGGUGAAAGCAGGGGAUCUUCGGACCUUGCGCGAUUGAAUGAGCCGAUGUCGGAUUAGCUAGUUGGCGGGAUAAAGGCCCACCAAGGCGACGAUCCGUAGCUGGUCUGAGAGGAUGAUCAGCCACACUGGAACUGAGACACGGUCCAGACUCCUACGGGAGGCAGCAGUGGGGAAUAUUGGACAAUGGGCGCAAGCCUGAUCCAGCCAUACCGCGUGGGUGAAGAAGGCCUUCGGGUUGAAAAGCCCUUUUGUUGGGAAAGAAAAGCAGCAGGUUAAUACCCCGCUGUUCUGACGGUACCCAAAGAAUAAGCACCGGCUAACUUCGUG